UCCCUGGAGGACUAGUGGUUAGGCUUUGUUGUUCUCACUGUUGUGGCCUGGGUUCGAUUCCCGGCCACGGAA